GACGUAGGGCGCGAGCGUGUCCGGAUUUAUUGGGCGUAAAGAGCUCGUAGGCGGUCUGUCACGUCGGCUGUGAAAACCCGAGGCUCAACCUCGGGCCUGCAGUCGAUACGGGCAGGCUAGAGUUCGGUAGGGGAGACUGGAAUUCCUGGUGUAGCGGUGAAAUGCGCAGAUAUCAGGAGGAACACCGAUGGCGAAGGCAGGUCUCUGGGCCACUGAC
rnacentral:rRNA from 1 species